rnacentral:rRNA from 1 species
UACAGAGGGGGCUAGCGUUGUUCGGAAUUACUGGGCGUAAAGGGCGCGUAGGCGGCAAUUCAAGUCAGCUGUGAAAUCUCCGGGCUUAACUCGGAACGGUCAGCUGAUACUGCUUUGCUAGAGUGCAGAAGGGGCAAUCGGAAUUCUUGGUGUAGCGGUGAAAUGCGUAGAUAUCAAGAGGAACACCUGAGGUGAAGACGGGUUGCUGGGCUGACACUGACGCUGAGGCGCGAAAGCUAGGGUAGCAAACGGG